AUUGAACGCUGGCGGCAGGCCUAACACAUGCAAGUCGAACGAGGGGCGGACGGGUGAGUAAUGUAUGGGAACCUGCCCGAUAGAGGGGGAUAACUACUGGAAACGGUAGCUAAUACCGCAUACUAUCGGAUGUGCCCAUAUGGGAUUAGCUAGUAGGUGUGGUAACGGCUCACCUAGGCGACGAUCCCUAGCUGGUCUGAGAGGAUGAUCAGCCACACUGGAACUGAGACACGGUCCAGACUCCUACGGGAGGCAGCAGUGGGGAAUAUUGCACAAUGGGCGCAAGCCUGAUGCAGCCAUGCCGCGUGUAUGAAGAAGGCCUUCGGGUUGUAAAGUACUUUCAGCGGGGAGGCGUUACCCGCAGAAGAAGCACCGGCUAACUCCGUGCCAGCAGCCGCGGUAAUAC
rnacentral:rRNA from 1 species